rnacentral:rRNA from 1 species
UACGUAGGGGGCAAGCGUUAUCCGGAUUUACUGGGUGUAAAGGGAGCGCAGGUGGCAAGGCAAGCCAGAAGUGAAAACCCGGGGCUUAACCCCGCGGAUUGCUUUUGGAACUGUCUGGCUGGAGUGCAGGAGGGGCAGGCGGAAUUCCUGGUGUAGCGGUGAAAUGCGUAGAUAUCAGGAGGAACACCGGUGGCGAAGGCGGCCUGCUGGACUGUAACUGACACUGAGGCUCGAAAGCGUGGGGAGCAAAC